rnacentral:rRNA from 1 species
CAAUGGCGUAACAAAGGGAAGCGAACCUGUGAGGGGGAGCAAAUCCCAAAAAUAACGUCCCAGUUCGGACUGUAGUCUGCAACCCGACUACACGAAGCUGGAAUCGCUAGUAAUCGCGAAUCAGAAUGUCGCGGUGAAUACGUUCCCGGGUCUUGUACACACCGCCCGUCACACCAUGGGAGUCGGGAAUGCCCGAAGUCAGUGACCCAACCUUUGGAGGGAGCUGCCGAAGGCAGGUCUGAUAACUGGGGUGAAGUCGUAACAAGGUACC